AACGGGUGAGUAAUACAUCGGAACAUGCCCAGUCGUGGGGGAUAACACUUCGAAAGAAGUGCUAAUACCGCAUACGUCCUGAGGGAGAAAGCGGGGGGUCGCAAGACCUCGCGCGAUUGGAGUGGCCGAUGUCAGAUUAGCUAGUUGGUGGGGUAAAGGCCUACCAAGGCAACGAUCUGUAGCUGGUCUGAGAGGAUGAUCAGCCACACUGGGACUGAGACACGGCCCAGACUCCUACGGGAGGCAGCAGUGGGGAAUUUUGGACAAUGGGGGCAACCCUGAUCCAGCCAUUCCGCGUGAGUGAAGAAGGCCUUCGGGUUGUAAAGCUCUUUCGGCAGGAACGAAACGGCGAGCUCUAACAUAGCUCGNUAAUGACGGUACCUGAAGAAGAAGCACCGGCUAACUACGUGCCAGCAGCCGCGGUAAUACGUAGGGUGCGAGCGUUAAUCGGAAUUACUGGGCGUAAAGCGUGCGCAGGCGGUUGUGUAAGACAGGUGUGAAAUCCCCGGGCUUAACCUGGGAACUGCGCUUGUGACUGCACGACUAGAGUAUGGCAGAGGGGGGUGGAAUUCC
rnacentral:rRNA from 1 species